UACGAGGGGGGCGAGCGUUGUUCGGAAUUAUUGGGCGUAAAGGGUGCGUAGGCGGUUUGGUAAGUCUUAUGUGAAAUCUAUGGGCUCAACUCAUAGUCUGCAUGAGAAACUGCCGGGCUUGAGUAUGGGAGAGGUGAGUGGAAUUCCUGGUGUAGCGGUGAAAUGCGUAGAUAUCGGAAGGAACACCUGUGGCGAAAGCGGCUCACUGGACCAUUACUGACACUGAGGCACGAAAGCUAGGGGAGCAAACAGG
rnacentral:rRNA from 1 species